rnacentral:rRNA from 1 species
GACGAACGCUGGCGGCGUGCCUAAUACAUGCAAGUAGGACGCAGUUGCGAACGGGUGAGUAACGCGUAGGUAACUACCUAUUAGAGGGGGAUAACUAUUGGAAACGAUAGCUAAUACCGCAUACUAGUUGAUGGACCUGCGUUGUAUUAGCUAGUAGGUGGGGUAAUGGCCUACCUAGGCAACGAUACAUAGCCGACCUGGAAGGGUGAGAGGCCACACUGGGACUGAGACAUGGCCCAGAACCCAAAGGGAGGGAGCAGUAGGGAAGCGUCGGCAAUGGGGGGAGCGCUGACCAGGAAAAGCAGCGUGAGUGAAGAAGGUUUUCGGAUCGUAAAGCUCUGUUGUUAAGGAAGCGGUACUUAACAAGAAAGGGACGGAUAACUACGUGCCAGCAGCCGCGGUAAUUC